rnacentral:rRNA from 1 species
GAUGAACGCUGGCGGCGUGCUUAACACAUGCAAGUCGAACGGAAAGGCUCCUGCUUGCAGGGGUACUCGAGUGGCGAACGGGUGAGUAACACGUGGGUGAUCUGCCCUGCACUUCGGGAUAAGCCUGGGAAAUUGGGUCUAAUACCGGAUAGGACGAUGGUUUGGAUGCCAUUGUGGAAAGUUUUUUCGGUGUGGGAUGAGCUCGCGGCCUAUCAGCUUGUUGGUGGGGUAAUGGCCUACCAAGGCGUCGACGGGUAGCCGGCCUGAGAGGGUGUACGGCCACAUUGGGACUGAGAUACGGCCCAGACUCCUACGGGAGGCAGCAGUGGGGAAUAUUGCACAAUGGGCGCAAGCCUGAUGCAGCGACGCCGCGUGGGGGAUGACGGCCUUCGGGUUGUAAACUCCUUUCGCUAGGGACGAAGCGCAAGUGACGGUACCUGGAGAAGAAGCACCGGCUAACUACGUG